GACGAACGCUGGCGGCGUGCUUAACACAUGCAAGUCGAACGGAAAGGCCCUGCUUUUGUGGGGUGCUCGAGUGGCGAACGGGUGAGUAACACGUGAGUAACCUGCCCUUGACUUUGGGAUAACUUCAGGAAACUGGGGCUAAUACCGGAUAGGAGCUCCUGCUGCAUGGUGGGGGUUGGAAAGUUUCGGCGGUUGGGGAUGGACUCGCGGCUUAUCAGCUUGUUGGUGGGGUAGUGGCUUACCAAGGCUUUGACGGGUAGCCGGCCUGAGAGGGUGACCGGCCACAUUGGGACUGAGAUACGGCCCAGACUCCUACGGGAGGCAGCAGUGGGGAAUAUUGCACAGUGGGCGGAAGCCUGAUGCAGCAACGCCGCGUGCGGGAUGACGGCCUUCGGGUUGUAAACCGCUUUCGCCUGUGACGAAGCGUGAGUGACGGUAAUGGGUAAAGAAGCACCGGCUAACUACGUGCCAGCAGCCGCGGUGAUACGUAGGGUGCGAGCGUUGUCCGGAUUUAUUGGGCGUAAAGGGCUCGUAGGUGGUUGAUCGCGUCGGAAGUGUAAUCUUGGGGCUUAACCCUGAGCGUGCUUUCGAUACGGGUUGACUUGAGGAAGGUAGGGGAGAAUGGAAUUCCUGGUGGAGCGGUGGAAUGCGCAGAUAUCAGGAGGAACACCAGUGGCGAAGGCGGUUCUCUGGGCCUUUCCUGACGCUGAGGAGCGAAAGCGUGGGGAGCGAACAGGCUUAGAUACCCUGGUAGUCCACGCUGUAAACGGUGGGUACUAGGUGUGGGGUCCAUUCCACGGGUUCCGUGCCGUAGCUAACGCUUUAAGUACCCCGCCUGGGGAGUACGGCCGCAAGGCUAAAACUCAAGGGAAUUGACGGGGCCCCGCACAAGCGGCGGAGCAUGCGGAUUAAUUCGAUGCAACGCGUAGAACCUUACCUGGGUUUGACAUGGAUCGGGAGUGCUCAGAGAUGGGUGUGCCUCUUUUGGGGUCGGUUCACAGGUGGUGCAUGGCUGUCGUCAGCUCGUGUCGUGAGAUGUUGGGUUAAGUCCCGCAACGAGCGCAACCCUUGUUCACUGUUGCCAGCACGUUAUGGUGGGGACUCAGUGGAGACCGCCGGGGCCAACUCGGAGGAAGGUGGGGAUGACGUCAAGUCAUCAUGCCCCUUAUGUCCAGGGCUUCACGCAUGCUACAAUGGCUGGUACAGAGAGUGGCGAGCCUGUGAGGGUGAGCGAAUCUCGGAAAGCCGGUCUCAGUUCGGAUUGGGGUCUGCAACUCGACCUCAUGAAGUCGGAGUCGCUAGUAAUCGCAGAUCAGCAACGCUGCGGUGAAUACGUUCCCGGGGCU
rnacentral:rRNA from 1 species